rnacentral:sRNA from 12 species
GCAGCCGCCGGACGGGGCGGGCCGCGAGGGUUGGGGAGCCCGAUGACCCGAUGACCGGUUCGCCGCCGAGAUGGGACCGGGUUUUAGGGAGCCCGGCCCGAUCGCUCUGGCGAAGAAG